rnacentral:rRNA from 1 species
UACGGAGGGGGCUAGCGUUGUUCGGAAUUUCUGGGCGUAAAGGGUGCGUAGGUGGCGUGGAAAGUCAGAUGUGAAAUCCGGGGGCUCAACCUCCGAAUUGCAUCCGAUACUCCCAUGCUAGAGAACUGGAGGGGAGUCUGGAAUUCUCGGUGUAGCAGUGAAAUGCGUAGAUAUCGAGAGGAACACUAGUGGCGAAGGCGAGACUCUGGACAGUUUCUGACACUGAUGCACGAAGGCCAGGGUAGCGAACGGG